rnacentral:rRNA from 1 species
AUACGGAGGAUGCAAGCGUUAUCCGGAUUUAUUGGGUUUAAAGGGUGCGUAGGCGGGACUGUAAGUCAGGGGUGAAAUACUGCAGCUUAACUAUAGCAUUGCCUUUGAAACUGCCGUUCUUGAGUACAGUUGAGGUAGGCGGAAUGUGGGGUGUAGCGGUGAAAUGCAUAGAUAUACCACAGAACGCCGAUUGCGAAGGCAGCUUACUAAGCUGUUACUGACGCUGAGGCACGAAAGCGUGGUGAUCAAACAGGAUUAGAUACCCUGGUAGUCCACGCUGUAAACGAUGAUUACUGGUUGUUAGCGAUAUAUAGCUAGUGACUGAGCGAAAGCAUUAAGUAAUCCACCUGGGGAGUACGUCGGCAACGAUGAAACUCAAAGGAAUUGACGGGG